GUAAGCAUGGCUGUUUCUUUGUUUGUCAGCUUUUAUCGUAGCAAUUAAUGCAAGCUGGUCUGAUCUGUUUAGCCUCCCUUGCUGCUGCUCCAACUCCUGGACCAAUCUGUUCGUUUGUUUGCUGCCGGGAAGCUGCGCUGCAUAGGCGAACUUGUGGAUCUGUUUAUCUGGCAGUGUGGUAAUUUACAGGUAAGCAGCUACCGUAAGUUAUAGUUUUUAUCAGCAGUUGUAUUAAUAAUCUACUCUAUUUUUUAGCCUCCUGCUGAGUCCCUGACGACUAUUAUAUUUGGAUGUACACUCGCUGCUGUUUUGCCUACGAUGCAUUGUUUUAAAAGAUUUGUAUGAACUGUCCCCCACUGCCGGGAGCAUUGAUGGCACUACGAAUGGGAUAAAAAGCAAUAUUGUAGUGCUAUUGUAUCACUGUUUUACUCAUAUUGUUUGAUUUUUUGUCUUUCUUUUAGGGACUGAAGCUUCUGUGGUGGCGGUGGUGAUCCCUGGUGGUGGUGUUUUGUGGAGCACCCUUUUUUUGUGUGUGUUUUUGUAGUGUCCAGGAUUUCGUCCCUUUAUCUUCACUGGAUGUUGCCCCUUUCCUCACUACUUCCCCCCACUGGUAAGCCUCAGUUUCCUUUGAAAUUUAAACAUUUUAUAAUCAACUUCAUUAAAAAGGCAUUCACUGUUUUAACCAUUCAAUUUCAGGUUGUUGUUAAUUUAAACAACAUAUUGAAGUUUAAUAAAUUUUUUGUAGAACUGUC